UACAGAGGGGGCAAGCGUUGUUCGGAAUUACUGGGCGUAAAGGGCGCGUAGGUGGCCUUCUAAGUUGAACGUGAAAUCCCUGGGCUCAACCCAGGAACUGCGUCCAAGACUGGGAGGCUUGAAUCCGGGAGAGGGAUGCGGAAUUCCAGGUGUAGCGGUGAAAUGCGUAGAUAUCUGGAGGAACACCGGUGGCGAAGGCGGCCGUCUGGACACAUAUUGACGCUGAGGCUCGAAAGCAUGGGGAGCAAACAGG
rnacentral:rRNA from 1 species